rnacentral:lncRNA from 1 species
UGGAGAAGAAAUGGGAUGUUCGUUUCCGGAAGAGGGUUUGCUGCCCGCCACUCUCACUAGUCUCUCCAUCCGCUUUCAUCCAAAUCUUACAACCAUCCAAGGCAAGGUUUUGAGACAACUCACCUCUCUUGAAUACCUCAGAAUAGAAGGAUGCCCUGAGCUCCAGGGCUUUACAGAAGUAGCGCCCAAAUCUCUGAAAAGGUUGGCUAUUUUGGAGUGCCAUAAUAUCGGGUGCUUGCCAGGAGAAUGGCUUCCCACAUCUCUUUCUCAUCUGCUUAUCAAAGAGUGUCCGCUGUUAAAAGAACGAUUCCGAAGAGAGACAGGGGAAGAUUGGCCCAAGAUUUCUCACAUCCCCCGUAUAAAUAUAGAAUAGAUGUUCCUGAAAUUGGUACUUGCCGAAUUCUCUCUCAAGUGUGUGCGUGCCUAUAUGUAAUAUAUGUACGAAACACUUUAGUUGGGUACUUUUUCUGAUGUUUUUUUUUUCCUUGCGCGUUUGAUUUGUGCUUCUAGUCCAGGCUCCAGCAGCAUAUGCUCUUGUUGUUUCGUGUUGAAUUUGUCACAAACUCUUCCUAAUGCAACAACAAAAAUGGAGCUGGUAUAGCCUUUGCUGUUUUGCGGUAAAGUAGUACUACGUACGUAUUCGCAAGAUGAUUACUAGGCUAAAACAAGAGCAAAUUUGGAUAAAAAAUGCUAUUUCUACCAUCUAGUUGUACUAUCAUUCGUGCCGUCUCUCUAAUAGAGAAGAGACUCGCAUGUGUUGGUGGACCCUCCUCUAUUAGAUUUCAUGAUUCACUAACGAAAGCUCGAAGCACCCUAUUUUCAUCCUCAGCUCGUCAAAGCAACCUAUUUUCAUCCUCAGCUCGUCACACCUUUUUCAAGGGGUUUGCUUCUGAAACUCCUAAGCAGGUUCAUAGAGGCGUAACAUGUGCCCAUCAAUACAUCGUAUGGCAGCAACCUGUUACACAAUAGUCUUAUCGUAAUCUUUGCAACCAGCAUGGUGAUGAUAUACAAAUA